AGGAAUAUUGGUCAAUGGACGCGAGUCUGAACCAGCCAAGUAGCGUGAAGGAUGACUGCCCUAUGGGUUGUAAACUUCUUUUAUAUGGGAAUAAAGUGGUCCACGUGUGGAUUUUUGUAUGUACCAUAUGAAUAAGGAUCGGCUAACUCCGUGCCAGCAGCCGCGGUAAUACGGAGGAUCCGAGCGUUAUCCGGAUUUAUUGGGUUUAAAGGGAGCGUAGGCGGAUUGUUAAGUCAGUUGUGAAAGUUUGCGGCUCAACCGUAAAAUUGCAGUUGAUACUGGCAGUCUUGAGUGCAGUAGAGGUGGGCGGAAUUCGUGGUGUAGCGGUGAAAUGCUUAGAUAUCACGAAGAACUCCGAUUGCGAAGGCAGCUCACUGGAGUGUAACUGACGCUGAUGCUCGAAAGUGUGGGUAUCAAACAGGAUUAGAUACCCUGGUAGUCCACACAGUAAACGAUGAAUACUCGCUGUUUGCGAUAUACAGUAAGCGGCCAAGCGAAAGCAUUAAGUAUUCCACCUGGGGAGUACGCCGGCAACGGUGAAACUCAAAGGAAUUGACGGGGGCCCGCACAAGCGGAGGAACAUGUGGUUUAAUUCGAUGAUACGCGAGGAACCUUACCCGGGCUUAAAUUGCAAAUGAAUUAUGGGGAAACCCAUACGCCGCAAGGCAUUUGUGAAGGUGCUGCAUGGUUGUCGUCAGCUCGUGCCGUGAGGUGUCGGCUUAAGUGCCAUAACGAGCGCAACCCUUAUCUUCAGUUACUAACAGGUCAUGCUGAGGACUCUGGAGAGACUGCCGUCGUAAGAUGUGAGGAAGGUGGGGAUGACGUCAAAUCAGCACGGCCCUUACGUCCGGGGCUACACACGUGUUACAAUGGGGGGUACAGAAGGCCGCUACCUGGUGACAGGAUGCCAAUCCCAAAAACCUCUCUCAGUUCGGAUCGAAGUCUGCAACCCGACUUCGUGAAGCUGGAUUCGCUAGUAAUCGCGCAUCAGCCAUGGCGCGGUGAAUACGUUCCCG
rnacentral:rRNA from 1 species